GUUGGGCAAUCAACAUCAAAAGCGGCUGUGCGUUGCAAGCAGGAUUUGCCGAAGCGAUCAUCAACAUAUGUGCUGAAGCACAGAAAAGCUGAUGUGACUACGACCAUCCCAUGUUGAAGCUAUCUGGGAUGCCGCCAGCUGGAAGGAUAUCUUUAAUCACCUCGUUGCCGCUGCUAAGAGAUGUUUGAGUCAUCCAAGCUUUAAUUGACCUAGAGAAAAAUUCGAAUUUGUGGGACGGAUGUUGGGCAAAGCGGUGCUUACUCGUAAAGGAUAAAAUGAAGGAGCUAGAAGUGCAUUCGGUGGUAGAAAUCAACAUCAAGUUAGGGCGGCACAAAAGGCGGUCGCCCAUGCAUGCGCGAUUCGUAGGAGAAAUUCGCGUGUGCUAUCUAACUUAGAGUAUUGAGAGUAUGACACGUCGCAUCAUCAAACUAAACAACUACAACCAAAACGCGCCGAAAAGAUUCCUUAAAUGAACUGAAAACCUUGACAUUGUUCAAAUAGUUGACGAUUUUGAAGUAGUUUAAAAUUUAUCGCCCGAAAAAUAUGUAAAAACGAGAUUCGUUGUUCGGCGAGGAUGAGUAGUGAAGGUGUAAAUUUUAUAAAUAAAAAUAUAUUAUUUGAAACUAAAGAAACUGUAAAUGAAACG